GAUACCUGGUUACAGAGGUGACAUAACAAGCAUAAGGUCCAUUAUAACACAGUGAAGUAGGACCAUGGGAUAGAGUCAGAAAGGUCAUUAUGUUUCUUAACUGGUUACAGAGGUGACAUAACAAGCAUAAGGUCCAUUAUAACACAGUGAAGUAGGACCAUGGGAUAGAGUCAGAAAGGUCAUUAUGUUUCUUAACUGGUUACAGAGGUGACAUAACAAGCAUAAGGUCCAUUAUAACACAGUGAAGUAGGGCCAUGGGAUAGGGUCAGAAAGGUCAUUAUGUUUCUUAACUGGUUACAGAGGUGACAUAACAAGCAUGAGGUCCAUUAUAACACAGUGAAGUAGGGCCAUGGGACAGGGUCAGAAAGGUCAGUAUGUUUCUUAACUGGUUACAGAGGUGACAUAACAAGCAUAAGGUCCAUUAUAACACAGUGAAGUAGGACCAUGGGAUAGAGUCAGAAAGGUCAUUAUGUUUCUUAACUGGUUACAGAGGUGACAUAACAAGCAUAAGGUCCAUUAUAACACAGUGAAGUAGGGCCAUGGGAUAGAGUCAGAAAGGUCAGUAUGUUUCUUAACUGGUUACAGAGGUGACAUAACAAGCAUAAGGUCCAUUAUAACACAGUGAAGUAGGACCAUGGGAUAGAGUCAGAAAGGUCAGUAUGUUUCUUAACUGGUUACAGAGGUGACAUAACAAGCAUAAGGUCCAUUAUAACACAGUGAAGUAGGACCAUGGGAUAGAGUCAGAAAGGUCAGUAUGUUUCUUAACUGGUUACAGAGGUGACAUAACAAGCAUAAGGUCCAUUAUAACACAGUGAAGUAGGGCCAUGGGAUAGAGUCAGAAAGGUCAGUAUGUUUCUUAACUGGUUACAGAGGUGACAUAACAAGCAUAAGGUCCAUUAUAACACAGUGAAGUAGGGCCAUGGGAUAGAGUCAGAAAGGUCAUUAUGUUUCUUAACUGGUUACAGAGGUGACAUAACAAGCAUAAGGUCCAUUAUAACACAGUGAAGUAGGACCAUGGGAUAGAGUCAGAAAGGUCAGUAUGUUUGAUACCUGGUUACAGAGGUGACAUAACAAGCAUGAGGUCCAUUAUAACACAGUGAAGUAGGGCCAUGGGAUAGAGUCAGAAAGGUCAGUAUGUUUCUUAACUGGUUACAGAGGUGACAUAACAAGCAUAAGGUCCAUUAUAACACAGUGAAGUAGGACCAUGGGAUAGAGUCAGAAAGGUCAGUAUGUUUCUUAACUGGUUACAGAGGUGACAUAACAAGCAUAAGGUCCAUUAUAACACAGUGAAGUAGGACCAUGGGAUAGAGUCAGAAAGGUCAUUAUGUUUCUUAACUGGUUACAGAGGUGACAUAACAAGCAUAAGGUCCAUUAUAACACAGUGAAGUAGGACCAUGGGAUAGAGUCAGAAAGGUCAGUAUGUUUCUUAACUGGUUACAGAGGUGACAUAACAAGCAUAAGGUCCAUUAUAACACAGUGAAGUAGGACCAUGGGAUAGAGUCAGAAAGGUCAUUAUGUUUCUUAACUGGUUACAGAGGUGACAUAACAAGCAUAAGGUCCAUUAUAACACAGUGAAGUAGGGCCAUGGGACAGGGUCAGAAAGGUCAGUAUGUUUCUUAACUGGUUACAGAGGUGACAUAACAAGCAUGAGGUCCAUUAUAACACAGUGAAGUAGGACCAUGGGACAGGGUCAGAAAGGUCAGUAUGUUUGAUACCUGGUUACAGAGGUGACAUAACAAGCAUGAGGUCCAUUAUAACACAGUGAAGUAGGACCAUGGGACAGGGUCAGAAAGGUCAGUAUGUUUCUUAACUGGUUACAGAGGUGACAUAACAAGCAUAAGGUCCAUUAUAACACAGUGAAGUAGGACCAUGGGACAGGGUCAGAAAGGUCAGUAUGUUUGAUACCUGGUUACAGAGGUGACAUAACAAGCAUAAGGUCCAUUAUAACACAGUGAAGUAGGACCAUGGGACAGGGUCAGAAAGGUCAGUAUGUUUCUUAACUGGUUACAGAGGUGACAUAACAAGCAUAAGGUCC